UCCCGAAUAAAUAGCGUGAAUGUUCCCGGU
rnacentral:piRNA from 1 species